UGAGGAAUAUUGGUCAAUGGACGCAAGUCUGAACCAGCCAUGCCGCGUGCAGGAUGACGGCUCUAUGAGUUGUAAACUGCUUUUGUACAAGGGUAAACUCAGGUACGUGUACCUGACUGAAAGUAUUGUACGAAUAAGGAUCGGCUAACUCCGUGCCAGCAGCCGCGGUAAUACGGAGGAUCCAAGCGUUAUCCGGAUUUAUUGGGUUUAAAGGGUGCGUAGGCGGUUUGAUAAGUUAGAGGUGAAAGCCCGUAGCUCAACUACGGAACUGCCUCUAAUACUGUUGAACUAGAGAGUAGUUGCUGUCGGCGGAAUGUGUAGUGUAGCGGUGAAAUGCUUAGAUAUUACACAGAACACCAAUUGCGAAAGCAGCUGACAAAGCUAUUUCUGACGCUGAGGCACGAAAGCGUGGGGAGCAAACA
rnacentral:rRNA from 1 species